CACCACGAAGUCCUCACCUCGAGCCCCAAGCAAUGGAGCCUGCCGUCUGUGGAUUGAGACCUCUGAAACUGUGAGCUUCCAAAUAAGCUUUUCCUCCUCUAUAAUUGUGCUGACGGGGCUAAAAAGCUGACUUGAACACUCUGCUUCUGUGGUUCAUGACUCUGAGACUUGACAACCCGAGCAGGUGCAUCUCUCCCCGCUGGCCAGAAGGUUCCGAUGCUGGGUGGCCACCACAAAUCGCUCACCACAAAUGACAGAUCAUCCUCCAUCAUCUCAUCUAAACCACAGAACAACCCAGAGAGAGGCUCCCAUCAGCCUCAUUUCCCAGAUAAAAUGACUGGCAGCUAUCUUGACCACAAGAUGAUGGUGAGGACAGAAGCCAAAGGACAAGUCUUUUGGUCACAGCUCA